rnacentral:rRNA from 1 species
UACCAGCUCUCCGAGUGGUAGGGAUGAUUAUUGGGCUUAAAGCGUCCGUAGCCGGCUUAGCAAGUCUCCUGUUAAAUUCAGCGACCUAAUCGUUGAGCCGCGGGAGAUACUACUAGGCUAGGAGGCGGGAGAGGUCAACGGUACUUCCGGGGUAGGGGUGAAAUCCUAUAAUCCCGGGAGGACCACCAGUGGCGAAGGCUGUUGACUAGAACGCGCUCGACGGUGAGGGACGAAAGCUGGGGGAGCGAACCGGAUUAGAUACCCGGGUAGUCCCAGCUGUAAACGAUGCGAGCUAGGUGUUGGGGUGGCUACGUGCCACUUCAGUGCCGCAGGGAAGCCAUUAAGCUCGCCGCCGUGGGGAGUACGGCCGCAAGGCUGAAACUUAAGGAAUUGGGCGGGGAGCACCACAAGGCGUGAAGCUUGCGGUUC